rnacentral:lncRNA from 1 species
AUUUUUUAUGGUACAGUCGCUUCAUUUUCUUCCUGCAGCUGCUCCUUAAAGUCAAGCUCCAGGCAAGUGACUGAAAUCCUCUCUGCAGCCUGUGUGCUAAAACCAAAGUGCAAACAGCACACAGAGUUUGUGUUGGCUGCAGCUAGCUGUCAGUGAGUGUACGGGACCUGGGCAUCUGUGUGUCAGGCCCACACUGCGCUCGGUGUGCAGAAAUGAGCUGGCUGGUGAUACUUCUUUUCCUUACCUUAGAAUAUCCUUCAGAGAAGGUAACACUGAAAGACACAAAGUGCCUGAAGCAGUUUGCAGCACAGUGAGUCUGAUUUUUUUGGCUUCAAACACAAAGGAAAAAUCUGCAUGAAUUGCCCUCUGUGGAGGGGAUGCUAACUCUGAUGGCUCCUGCCCAGCACCCAGGCAAGGAGGAUGCAGUCCAGCAGCCUUCCAUAGUGCUGCACUGGGCCUUUCCUCCUGCCCUGUGACCCCAGGCUCCCUGCACAGCUGGCUGGGGGACACUGAUCUGCCAUCCAUGCUGUGGGGCAGGACCACCCACAGCAGGAGCCUGGGAAAGUAGCCAGGACAAUUACUCAUGGCCUGUAUAAUAGCUAAGCAUGUGGAGGGCCUUGCAACUCCCUUACAGCAUGUGUCACACUCGCCUGCCCAGCACUCUCCUGCGCCACACCAGCAUCUUUUUGCCUCGCUCUUCUAGUCUGAGUUGGUAAUUUUGUCUUUCUUCCUGCAGGUUCCUAAGAGAAACUGAUUAUUGUAGGACAAAAUUUGCCUCUUGCCGAUGAAUGCCACAUAUUUUGCACCCUACAAGUGCAAAUUGUCCUCUACUGACUGUGAAGAAAACUGAUUUUGUUUUAGAUACCUACAGCUGGCCAGGUUUUAACAUGCUUCUGGUUGUCCAAAAAGCCAGUUGCAUCUGUGCCUAUGCAGUCCUUUCCCCCCCACCAAUUUGCCAGUGUUCUACCUUGUAACCAGCCCUGCCUCUACAGAUGAUCUUAGAAUAAGGGUGGCCAUACUCCUCUCCAUUUGCUGACUCUGAGGAACAGAGGGAGAGGGGUGUGUGGAGGGGAGGGCCAAAGGAAGCCGAGAUGGACAAGGGAGAAAAUCAGCACGUUGGCUGGAGGCUGAGAGAAAUCAC